rnacentral:rRNA from 1 species
UGAGAUGUUGGGUUAAGUCCCGCAACGAGCGCAACCCCUACGUUUAGUUGCUAACGCGUGAAGGCGAGCACUCUAGACGAACUGCCGUUGACAAAACGGAGGAAGGUGGGAUGACGUCAAAUCAUCAUGCCCCUUAUGUUCUGGGCUACACACGUGCUACAAUGGCCGGUACAGACGGACGCAAAGCCGCGAGGUGGAGCAAAUCCUAAAAAGCCGGUCUCAGUUCGGAUUGCAGGCUGCAAUUCGCCUGCAUGAAGUCGGAAUCGCUAGUAAUCGUGGAUCAGCAUGCCACGGUGAAUACGUUCCCGGGCCUU